rnacentral:rRNA from 1 species
GGGGAAUUUUCCGCAAUGGGCGAAAGCCUGACGGAGCAAUCUCGCGUGAGGGAUGACGGCCUAUGGGUUGUAAACCUCUUUUUUCAGGGAGGAAUCAAAUGACGUGUACCUGAAGAAUAAGCAUCGGCUAACUCCGCGCCAGCAGCCGCGGUAAGACGGAGGAUGCAAGUGUUAUCCGGAAUCACUGGGCGUAAAGCGUCUGUAGGUGGUUUAGUAAGUCAACUGUUAAAUCUUGAGCUUAACUUCAAAACCGCAGUCGAAACUGCUAGACUAGAGUAUAGUAGGGGUAAAGGGAAUUUCCAGUGGAGCGGUGAAAUGCGUAGAGAUUGGAAAGAACACCGAUGGCGAAGGCACUCUACUGGGCUAUUACUGACACUCAGAGACGAAAGCUAGGGUAGCAAAUGGGAUUAGAUACCCCAGUAGUC